UCAGAACGUCUGUUCUUAAGCUUGGCCUCUUACCCACCUGGCCCUGCUACCUCCUCAAAGUUUCAUGCUUCAGUUGGGCAGGAACCUCCCACUGUAGUUUCAGUUUUUACUUAUAUGCAGAGAUUGCCAGAGGCUUAGAAAUUCUAUCGGUUCCAGGCAUCUAUGUGCUAGGUCCCAUACUCAUCAACAGCGUACCCAAAAUGUGUAAGCUUUGGUCUUCAAGUGCUGGCAGUUUAACAUUUCAUUGAUGAGGUGCAGCUGACAGCCAGCUUGCAACCACAAGGAUGGCCACCAUGAAGUCAAAGGAGAACUGAGAGAAGAACCAAGAAACAGACCAGGAACCCUGACUGAACUGCUCUGAAAAGCCGCUGCUUCUGGACUCCAGUUCCAAUGGAAGACUCUGAGGAGGACUUAGACAAGGCAAACCCACCAGAUGAAGGAAGGCUGAAUCCCAGAGUUUCACUGCUUGGAGAAAAACAGCUCAAGAGAGCUGCUUGGCCAAGAACACCUGCAUUGAACCUCGUAUGAGAAAGAAAUAAAAUUCUACUACUACAUUAA